rnacentral:sRNA from 1 species
AUCCUACUGAAAUAUCAAGUUCACUGAGAAAAGUAAUUCCUCUCAGAGAAAGAAAGAGGGUUUCCAGGUCAAGGGCACACUCAAAGCUUAGCUGUCCUACUAGAAUCUCCACACAUGACCUCAAGAUCCAUUUAUAGAAGCAUGUGAAGUGAGC